GUGACAGCUGGCAGUAUGUGGUGGCCACUCUGCUGGACCUCUCCCCAUGGAACCCAGGUCCCUGCUGUGGAAAGGAUCCGUGUUCCUGCGCUUUUCAUCCGGUUUUGCCAUUGCUCAUUUGCACGCCUGCUGUGAUUCCUUGAGAGGGCUUGUAUUGUGCUCAUUUGUGAGUCUGCAGCACACUGCCUGCACGCAGGGUGCUCUCCCUCCAUAGGGCUGCCCAGCAAGUGAUCAAACAGGUCUCCUCCCAGAGUCUGACCUUGACGCUUGGGGUUUCUACUACCCAAAAGUGGGACACAGAGCGUGCAUUCUGGUGCAGGAAUCUUAGAGAGAUGUAAUUCUAGCCGAAUUACAAGAGAGGUGGAAGGAAACCAUGAGUUACUUUUUGAUUUGGGGAACGAGGAGGUGGUUUGGAAGAAAUUGGCCAUAGGAAAGACACAGCCCCAAAGUGGACCCUUAACAAGCAGAAUCCUGCACCUGGGGCUGGCGUGUGAGUGUGUGGGGUGAGGAUCUUCUGAGUGAAAAGGCUCGGCCCUUGCAUUUCAUGGAAAAGGUCACUAGUGUCAUCAGACAUUUUGGGCAGAAUCAAGCACGGCGCCUACAUCCGCAUCCGGCACCCUUGUUACUUACUGUAACAAGGAGCGUUUCCAGUCCCGGCAACAGCCUCGAACCCUCAAAGCCAAUGACUCCAGAAAUGAAGACGUUUGUACAGCGGAAUACGAUUCAGCCACGAAAUGGGACCGAGGGCUGAUCCUCGCUACAACACGGGCAAACCUUGAAAACGAUACAAACGAAAGAGAUCACACACUCGAAAGGGCCAUGUGUUGUGUGAUUCCAUUUAUGGGCAAUGUCCAGAAGAGGACACAGAGAGCAGGUGUGUGGCAGCCAGGGGCUGGGGGCUGGAGGGGACAGAGGGCUGGCUGCUUACGUAGAUGAGGUUUUAUUUUGGGGGGUGUUGGAAAUGCUUCGAGCUAGGUAGAGGCAGUGGUUGUGCAACAUGAGGUGUGUGCUGAAUGCCACAGAAUGGUUCACUUUAAAAGGGAGGGGGGGUGGGUGGAGGGCAGCCCGGGUGGCUCAGCAGUUUAACGCCGGCUUCAGCCCAGGGCCUGAUCCUGGAGACCUGGGAUCGAGUCCCGCAUCGGGCUCCCGGCAUGGAGCCUGCUUCUCCCUCU
rnacentral:lncRNA from 1 species